rnacentral:rRNA from 1 species
AGCGAACGCUGGCGGCAGGCCUAACACAUGCAAGUCGAACGAACUCUUCGGAGUUAGUGGCGGACGGGUGAGUAACACGUGGGAACGUGCCUUUUGGUUCGGAAUAGCUCAGGGAAACUUGUGCUAAUACCGAAUGUGCCCUUCGGGGGAAAGAUUUAUCGCCAUUAGAGCGGUCCGCGUCUGAUUAGCUAGUUGGUGAGGUAACGGCUCACCAAGGCGACGAUCAGUAGCUGGUCUGAGAGGAUGACCAGCCACACUGGGACUGAGACACGGCCCAGACUCCUACGGGAGGCAGCAGUGGGGAAUCUUGCGCAAUGGGCGAAAGCCUGACGCAGCCAUGCCGCGUGAAUGAUGAAGGUCUUAGGAUUGUAAAAUUCUUUCACCGGGGACGAUAAUGACGGUACCCGGAGAAGAAGCCCCGGCUAACUUCGUG